rnacentral:rRNA from 1 species
GAUGAACGCUGGCGGCGUGCCUAAUACAUGCAAGUCGAACGCUGGAGCUCUAGCUUGCUAGAUCGAAGGAGUGGCGCACGGGUGAGUAAUACAUAAGCAACCUACCCACGAAGACUGGGAUAAUCUCUGGAAACGGGGACUAAUACCGGAUAGGUAAUCGGAAGCCAUCUUCUGGUUAUUAAAGGUUAAAAACACUGGUGGAUGGGCUUAUGGCGCAUUAGUUAGUUGGUGAGGUAACGGCCCACCAAGACGAUGAUGCGUAGCCGGCCUGAGAGUGUGAACGGCCACAUUGGGACUGAGACACGGCCCAGACUCCUACGGGAGGCAGCAGUAGGGAAUUUUCGGCAAUGGGGGCAACCCUGACCGAGCAACGCCGCGUGAGUGAAGACGGCCUUCGGGUUGUAAAGCUCUGUUGUAAGGGAAGAACGGUAGAUAGAGAAGAUCUAAGUGACGGUACCUUACCAGAAAGCCACGGCUAACUACGUG